rnacentral:rRNA from 1 species
AUUGAACGCUGGCGGCAUGCUUUACACAUGCAAGUCGAACGGUAACAGGCCUUCGGGUGCUGACGAGUGGCGAACGGGUGAGUAAUGCAUCGGAACGUGCCCAGAGGUGGGGGAUAACGCAGCGAAAGCUGUGCUAAUACCGCAUGUGAUCUGAGGAUGAAAGCGGGGGACCAGGCAGCAAUGUUUGGCCUCGCGCCUUUGGAGCGGCCGAUGUCAGAUUAGGUAGUUGGUGGGGUAAAGGCCUACCAAGCCGACGAUCUGUAGCUGGUCUGAGAGGACGACCAGCCACACUGGGACUGAGACACGGCCCAGACUCCUACGGGGGGCAGCAGUGGGGAAUUUUGGACAAUGGGCGCAAGCCUGAUCCAGCAAUGCCGCGUGCGGGAAGAAGGCCUUCGGGUUGUAAACCGCUUUUGUACGGAACGAAAAGGCUCUGGCUAAUACCUGGGGCUGAUGACGGUACCGUAAGAAUAAGCACCGGCUAACUACAUG